GACGAACGCUGGCGGCGCGCUUAACACAUGCAAGUCGAACGGAAAGGCCUGCUUUCCCUUGUGGAUUGCGGGUACUCGAGUGGCGAACGGGUGAGUACCACGUGAGUGAUCUGCCCCCAACUUGGGUAUAAGCCUGGGAAACUGGGUCUAAUUCCCGAUAGGACUGCAGGGUGGUGCCUGUGGUGGAAAACGAUUUUCUAGUGGUUGGGGAUGAGCUCGCGGCCUAUCAGCUUGUUGGUGGGGUAAUGGCCUACCAAGGCGGCGACGGGUAGCCGGCCUGGGAGGGGGGACGGCCACAUUGGGACUGAGAUCCGGCCCAGACUCCUACGGGAGGCAGCAGAGGGGAAUAUUGCACAAUGGGCGGAAGCCUGAUGCAGCGACGCCGCGUGGGGGAUGACGGCCUUCGGGUGGUAAACUCCUUUCGACCGCGAGGAAGCCACCUGGUUGGAAGGGUGGUGACGGUAGUGGUAGAAGAAGCACCGGCUAACUACGUG
rnacentral:rRNA from 1 species